rnacentral:rRNA from 1 species
UACGGGGGGGGCAAGCGUUGUUCGGAAUUACUGGGCGUAAAGGGCUCGUAGGCGGCCAACUAAGUCGGAUGUGAAAAUCCGGGGCUCAACCCCGGACCUGCAUCCGAAACUUCCCGGCUAGAGGUAGGUAGGGGAGAUCGGAAUUCCUGGUGUAGCGGUGAAAUGCGUAGAUAUCAAGAGGAACACCUGAGGUGAAGACGGGUUGCUGGGCUGACACUGACGUGAGGCGCGAAAAGCUAGGGGUAGCAAAACGGGG